CUGGUUAGUGGCGGACGGGUGAGUAACACGUAAGUAAUCUACCAUACAGCCUGGGAUAACCUGCCGAAAGGUGGGCUAAUACCGGAUAUAAUCCUGAUCACAUAAGUGGUUAGGAUGAAAGGUUUUUCGCUGUUUGAUGAACUUGCGGCCUAUCAGCUAGUUGGUGAGGUAAUGGCUCACCAAGGCGAUGACGGGUAGCUGGUCUGAGAGGACGAUCAGCCACACUGGAACUGAGACACGGUCCAGACUCC
rnacentral:rRNA from 1 species